CACGUAGGGGGCGAGCGUUGUCCGGAUUUAUUGGGCGUAAAGAGCUCGUAGGCGGCUCAGUAAGUCGGGUGUGAAAACUCCAGGCUCAACCUGGAGACGCCACCUGAUACUGCUGUGGCUAGAGUCCGGUGAGGGGAGCAUGGAAUUCCUGGUGUAGCGGUGAAAUGCGCAGAUAUCAGGAGGAACACCAGUGGCGAAGGCGGUGCUCUGGGCCGGAACUGACGCUGAGGAGCGAAAGCGUGGGGAGCGAACAGG
rnacentral:rRNA from 1 species